CCACGGUGACCACUGCUUGCCCCCCGCCGGCGGCCGUAACCUGAGCUUUAUCUCAGCGGGGUCAUUUAUCACCGUGGGCCUGCGAGGUGAAGGAUUCCUUCUGGGGAGAAAGGUGUCAAGCUGGACGUGGUGGCACACGGGCCUCGGGAGCCGAGGGAGGAGAUCGCAGUGAGUUUGAGGCCAGCCUACGCCACGUAGUGAGACCCUGUCUCAAGCUCGAAGUCUUCCGAGCGCAGAAAUAAGAAGCACUGAGGAGAGACUGACACUGGACACCGUCAGACAGCGGGACGGAUAUAAUCAGAAAUUCCACUGGACUCAGCUAUUCCCCUUCUAGGAUCUUACCAAAGAGUUAAAGUCCUCAUAUUCCAGGGAGCCAUGCGCACCCAUGUUUAUAGCCGUACAGCUCAUGGCAGCUACAUCUUGGAAGGAGCCUCUGCGUCCAUCAACAGGUGGAUAAAGAAACUGCAGUAUUUACACACAGUGGAGUGUUACUCUGCCGUGGAGAAGGUUAAACCUGAGUCAUGUGUGGGCAAAUGGACGCACCUGGAGAACAUGAUGUUCAGUGAAGUAAAUCAGGCACACAGCUUACAUCGGCGCUGUUUCCCUUCUGCGGGAAACCCAAGGUGUAAAUAAAGAGCAAAGCAGAAGAUCGCAAGAAAUGGGGAGAUGGAUCCCUCUCGGCAGGGAAGGGGGCCCAGAAGGGGAGGGGUGAGAACCCGCGCGGAGCUGAGCUGUGCCGCGCGCACCUCCUCCCGAGGAGGGCGAGCGUUAGUACUGCACACACGGGCCGAGAGAAUAAGACAUAAAUAUUAAACAUGCCUUCAUGGAGAAAGCACCGUCCUCAGGGCACGUCCGGAGGGAAGCAGCUGGACGCCGGAUUCCGCCCCCGGAGACGAAAGGCAGGAGGGCGAAGGGAAAGAUACCGCUCCGGGACACGAGGCCGCCAGGGCCGGCAUCUGCGCGCCUCGAGGCCCAGCGGCUCCGCACCCGCGUGACGACCCACAGGCCGGGGCACGGGACAGUCCUGCCGGGUGGUCCAGGCGGCGGGGUGGACGCUCAGCACGCUCAGCACGCCCGGCAGCGGCUCGAGCCUCGCUCUGCCCGUCGCCUGUGUAGGCGCCACGGUCCACCCGGGGCUCCCAAUCUUCGGUCUGCCAGCCACCAUGCGGGCUUGUCCUGCUGGUCCUCCGUUAUCUAAAUUUGCCUUUUCUGCUUUUUCCGGAUCCACUGGAAUCUUGCCUUCUUUUAGUACAGAAAUUCUUAUUUGGAGGGGAGGGCUUGAGACAGGGUCUCAUUAUGUAGUCCAGUCCGGCAGUGAUCGUCCUGCCUCAGCCUCCUGAGGGCCUGGCAUUGCUGGUACUGAAGCACCACCGCGCCGGACGGCAUUUUACCUGUAUGUGAUUUCAAGAGCUCUGCAUAGAAGGAAGUGAACACAUGCUGUGUAAUGAAGAUAGUUUUGUAGGGCU